rnacentral:rRNA from 1 species
UGGGGAAUAUUGCACAAUGGGCGCAAGCCUGAUGCAGCCAUGCCGCGUGUAUGAAGAAGGCCUUCGGGUUGUAAAGUACUUUCAGCGGGGAGGAAGGUGUUGUGGUUAAUAACCACAGCAAUUGACGUUACCCGCAGAAGAAGCACCGGCUAACUCCGUGCCAGCAGCCGCGGUAAUACGGAGGGUGCAAGCGUUAAUCGGAAUUACUGGGCGUAAAGCGCACGCAGGCGGUCUGUCAAGUCGGAUGGGAAAUCCCCGGGCUCAACCUGGGAACUGCAUCCGAAACUGGCAGGCUUGAGUCUUGUAGAGGUGGGUAGAAUUCCAGGUGUAGCGGUGAAAUGCGUAGAGAUCUGGAGGAAUACCGGUGGCGAAGGCGGCCCCCUGGACAAAGACUGACGCUCAGGUGCGAAAGCGUGGGGAGCAAACA